CGGCAGACGGAGAAGAGCAGCGUUCGUGGCAGGGUGUAACGCCGGUCCAGGAAAUGCCAGAGUGUGUUUGACCGAAGAAGAUGCCGCCCCUCUUUAGUGAAAAUACAGAGCAGCUCCAUGAUCCCCCACGAGAAGCAUGGUGAACUGUGGCAUUUCAGACUCAGCGACACAAAGAUCAAGACGUUGAGAGAAAAUGAAGAGGUGCACCUUUCCUGACUUAACCCUUUUCU